UGCAGAUUGUUCUAUAUGUUGAUCAGUUUAAUGAUUAACGAUUACAGUGAAGGCGUACCUGCAAAAUAAUAUUGUCACGGAGUGGUCAUUUCGUACCAAAGAGAAUAAUUGAAAAAAAGACAGGGAUGGACCGAGAUCCGGAAAACAAAGUAUUGAUGUCUCUCCGCCUAGCUCGAGUAAUGGAAACCUACCUGCUGAGAGAGAAUAUUGAGACUAUGGUUGACCAUCUAAAGGGUGUAAAGACGACGAAUUUCCAUUUUGGCAGCCAGUCAGAAGGAUCAACAACUUUAGGCAUGCGUUCAGAUAUUGUUCAACUCAAAUGUACGGAAAACAUCAACAUCAUAUUUAACUUGACGGACUGGGAGUACGGGAUAGAGACUUACCUGAUGGUUAAGGAGGGGGAUUCUCCACCACAACACUACUGGUUACAGUAUGUCAGGGAAGAUUCUCCAGAACCAAAUGGAUAUUAAGGACAGGAAGAUGGCGUACCGCAUGAGGAUGGACGUGUGUUUUUGAGCAAUCGGGUAGAAAAAAGGCUGGGUAAGGUUUUAUGGAAACAGAUGUGUAAGUAGUGGACCUUCGGUUAGUUAUUCUGUGGAAUGGGAUUAUGUCAUUGCAUUGAAGUGUAAACAGUUGCCACCGGAAGUACAAUGGAGGUUUUUA